AACGAACGCUGGCGGCAUGCCUAACACAUGCAAGUCGAACGGCAGCACAAUGUGUAGCAAUACACAUGGGUGGCGAGUGGCGGACGGGUGCGUAACGCGUAGGAAUCUGCCCUGAAGCGGGUGACAACCCGAGGAAACUCGGGCUAAUACCGCAUAAUCUCGAGAGAGAAAAGCUGGGGAAACCUGGCACUUCAGGAGGAGUAUGCGUCCGAUUAUCUAGUUAGUAGGGUAAAAGCCUACCAAGGCGAUGAUCGGGAGUUGGUCUGAGAGGAUGAUCAGACCAACUGGGACUGAGACACGGCACAGACUGCUACGGGAGGCAGCAGUGGGGGAUAUUGGACAAUGGGGGCAACCCUGAUCCAGCAAUGCCGCGUGUGUGAAGAAGGCCUUCGGGUUGUAAAGCACUUUAGUUGGGGAAGAAGAUGUGUAGUUUAAGAGAUGACACAUUUGACGGUACCCAAAGAAUAAGCACCGGCUAACUCUGUGCCAGCAGCCGCCGCAG
rnacentral:rRNA from 1 species